CCUACGGGCGGCAGCAGUGAGGAAUAUUGGUCAAUGGGCGCGAGCCUGAACCAGCCAAGUCGCGUGAGGGAAGACGGCCCUAUGGAUUGUAAACUUCUUUUGUCGGGGAGCAAAAGACGCCACGCGUGGCUUUCCGAGAGUACCCGAAGAAUAAGCAUCGGCUAACUCCGUGCCAGCAGCCGCGGUAAUACGGAGGAUGCGAGCGUUAUCCGGAUUUAUUGGGUUUAAGGGGUGCGCAGGCGGAAGAUCAAGUCAGCGGUAAAAUUGAGAGGCUCAACCUCUUCGAGCCGUUGAAACUGGUUUUCUUGAGUGAGUGAGAGGUAUGCGGAAUGCGUGGUGUAGCGGUGAAAUGCAUAGAGAUCACGCAGAACUCCGAUUGCGAAGGCAGCAUACCGGCGCUCAACUGACGCUCAUGCACGAAAGUGUGGGUAUCGAACAGGAUUAGAUACCCUAGUAGUC
rnacentral:rRNA from 1 species